GCAAGUCGAACGAGAUGCGUAUCGGAAAGCUUCGGCCGGAAGAUACGUUAUCUAGUGGCGGACGGGUGAGUAACACGUGGGUAACCUGCCUUAUGGAGGGGGCUAACAGAGAGAAAUCACUGCUACUACCGCAUAAGCACACAGUACCGCAUGGUACAGGGUGAAAAGAUUUAUCGCCAUAAGAUGGACCCGAGUCUGAUUAGCCAGUUGGCAGGGUAAAGGCCUACCAAAGCAACGAUCAGUAGCCGGUCUGAGAGGAUGACC
rnacentral:rRNA from 1 species